rnacentral:rRNA from 1 species
AAGCUCGUAGUUGAAUUUCGGGAUUAAUUUAUCGGUCGUGCUUUUGUACGUACUGGUAUUAUUGAUUCCUACCUUCUGACGAACCAUGAUGUCAUUAAUUUGGUGUCUUGGGGAAUCAGGACUGUUACUUUGAAAAAAUUAGAGUGUUUAAAGCAGGCUCACGCUUGAAUACAUUNGCAUGGAAUAACGAAAUAGGACGUUUGAUUCUAUUUUGUUGGUUUCUAGGAUCGACGUAAUGAUUAAUAGGGAUAGUUGGGGGCAUUAGUAUUCAAUUGUCAGAGGUGAAAUUCUUGGAUUUAUUGAAGACUAACUACUGCGAAAGCAUUUGCCAAGGAUGUUUUCAUUAAUCAAGAACGAAAGUUAGGGGAUCGAAGACGAUCAGAUACCGUCGUAGUCUUAACCAUAAACUAUGCCGACUAGGGAUCGGAUGAUGUUAAUUUUUUAAUGACUCAUUCGGCGCCUUACGGGAAACCAAAGUGUUUGGGUUCCGGGGGGAGUAUGGUCGCAAGGCUGAAACUUAAAGGAAUUGACGGAAGGGCACCACCAGGGGUGGAGCCUGCGGCUUAAUUUGACUCAACACGGGGAAACUCACCAGGUCCAGACAUAGUAAGGAUUGACAGAUUGAGAGCUCUUUCUUGAUUCUAUGGGUG